rnacentral:rRNA from 1 species
AUACAGAGGGUGCGAGCGUUAAUCGGAAUUACUGGGCGUAAAGCGCGCGUAGGCGGUCUAUUAAGUCAGAUGUGAAAUCCCAGGGCUCAACCUUGGAACUGCAUCUGAUACUGGUAGACUAGAGUUUUGGAGAGGGAAGUAGAAUUUCAGGUGUAGCAGUGAAAUGCAUAGAGAUCUGAAGGAAUACCAGUGGCGAAGGCGACUUCCUGGCCAAAAACUGACGCUGAGGUGCGAAAGCGUGGGUAGCAAACGGGAUUAGAAACCCUAGUAGUCC